GACGAACGCUGGCGGCGUGCCUAAUACAUGCAAGUUGAGCGAUGAAGAUUGGUGCUUGCACCAAUUUGAAGAGCAGCGAACGGGUGAGUAACGCGUGGGGAAUCUGCCUUUGAGCGGGGGACAACAUUUGGAAACGAAUGCUAAUACCGCAUAACAACUUUAAACAUAAGUUUUAAGUUUGAAAGAUGCAAUUGCAUCACUCAAAGAUGAUCCCGCGUUGUAUUAGCUAGUUGGUGAGGUAAAGGCUCACCAAGGCGAUGAUACAUAGCCGACCUGAGAGGGUGAUCAGCCACAUUGGGACUGAGACACGGUCCAAACUCCUACGGGAGGCAGCAGUAGGGAAUCUUCGGCGAUAGACGAAAGUCUGACCGAGCAACGCCGCGUGAGUGAAGAAGGUUUUCGGAUCGUAAAACUCUGUUGGUAGAGAAGAACGUUGGUGAGAGUGGAAAGCUCAUCAAGUGACGGUAACUACCCAGAAAGGGACGGCUAACUACGUG
rnacentral:rRNA from 1 species